rnacentral:lncRNA from 1 species
AGAGGUAAAGUUGGGGAGAGAGGACGGAGCGGGAUGAGGUAAAGUUGGGGAGGACGGAGCGGGAGGAGGUAAAGUUGUGGAGAGAGGACGGAGCAGGAAGAGGUAAAGUUGGGGAGAGAGGACGGAGCAGGAAGAGGUAAAGUUGGGGAGAGAGGACGGAGCGGGAGGAGGUAAAGUUGGGGAGAGAGGACGGAGCGGGAUGAGGUAAAGUUGGGGAGAGAGGACGGAGCGGGAGGAGGUAAAGUUGGGGAGAGAGGACGGAGCAGGAAGAGGUAAAGUUGUGGAGAGAGGACGGAGCAGGAAGAGGUAAAGUUGGGGAGGACGGAACAGGAUGGGGUAAAGUUGGGGAGAGAGGACGGAGCAGGAAGAGGUAAAGUUGUGGAGAGAGGACGGAGCAGGAAGAGGUAAAGUUGGGGAGGACGGAACAGGAUGGGGUAAAGUUGGGGAGAGAGGACGGAGCAGGAAGAGGUAAAGUUGUGGAGAGAGGGCGGAGCAGGAAGAGGUAAAGUUGGGGAGAGAGGACGGAGCAGGAAGAGGUAAAGUUGUGGAGAGAGGACGGAGCAGGAAGAGGUAAAUUUGGGGAGAGAGGACGGAGCGGGAAGAGGUAAAGUUGGGGAGAGAGGACGGAGCGGGAAGCGGUAAAGUUGGGGAGAGAGGACGGAGCAGGAAGAGGUAAAGUUGGGGAGAGAGGACGGAGCAGGAAGAGGUAAAGUUGGGGAGAG